UACGACUACAUAUCAGGCAUAUCAAUAAGCGGAGGAAAAGAAACUAACAAGGAUUCCCUUAGUAACGGCGAGUGAAGCGGGAAGAGCUCAAAUUUGAAAUCUUCAAGGUUUUACCUUGACGAAUUGUAGUUUAAAGAAGUGUUUUCUGUUGAAGUUUCGGUAAAAGUUCUUUGGAAAUAGGACAUCAUAGAGGGUGAGAAUCCCGUAUUUGACCAGUUAUUUUCAGCUGUGUGAUACACUUUCAAAGAGUCGGAUUGUUUGGGAAUGCAGUCCAAAAUGGGUGGUAAAUUUCAUCUAAAGCUAAAUACUGGCGAGAGACCGAUAGCGAACAAGUACCGUGAGGGAAAGAUGAAAAGAACUUUGAAAAGAGAGUUAAACAGUACGUGAAAUUGUCAAAAGGGAAGCGUUUGACACCAGUGUUGUUUUCUCGAAAAUCAAUUAAAAAUGACCUGAUUUUGUGUUGUAUUGACCUUUAAUCAAGCUUUCUUCACUUUUUUCAUUGUCUUUUUUAAUGCACUUUUCGUUUAACAAGUCAACAUCAGUUUCUUUUGUUGUAAAAGAGUCAUUGGAAGGUGGCUUUCCUUUCGGAUGAAAGUGUUUAUAGCCUUUGACUUCUGCAAUCGGAGAGAUUGAGGUCUGCAGCGUAGAUCCUUCUGGAUUAGAUACUUAGAUGCUAAGUUAUAGUUUUUCAUAGACAACUUGUUGACUAUGAUUAGUCAUGUAGUUUACUCGUUUGCGCUAUUUUACCUACGCUUAGGAUGUUGACGCGCGUGUGUGCGUG
rnacentral:rRNA from 1 species